GAGGGUACAGCUCAGUGUUAAGAGUGCAUGCCUAGCAUGCAUGAGGUCCUGGGUUCAAUCCCCCAUAGUUCCA
rnacentral:tRNA from 1 species